UACGUAGGGGGCUAGCGUUGUCCGGAAUCAUUGGGCGUAAAGCGCGUGUAGGCGGCCCGGUAAGUCCGCUGUGAAAGUCGGGGGGCUCAACCCUCGGAUGCCGGUGGAUACUGUCGGGCUCGAGUACGGAAGAGGCGAGUGGAAUUCCUGGUGUAGCGGUGAAAUGCGCAGAUAUCAGGAGGAACACCAAUUGCGAAGGCAGCUCGCUGGGACGUUACUGACGCUGAGACGCGAAAGCGUGGGGGAGCAAAACAGG
rnacentral:rRNA from 1 species